rnacentral:rRNA from 1 species
AUACGGAGGGUGCAAGCGUUAUCCGGAUUUACUGGGUUUAAAGGGUACGCAGGCGGUAAUUUAAGUCAGUGGUGAAAGCCUACAGCUCAACUGUAGAACUGCCAUUGAAACUGAAUUACUUGAGUAUGGUAGAGGUAGGCGGAAUACAACAUGUAGCGGUGAAAUGCAUAGAUAUGUUGUAGAACACCGAUUGCGAAGGCAGCUUACUAAACCAUUACUGACGCUCAUGUACGAAAGCGUGGGGAGCGAACAGGAUUAGAUACCCCAGUAGUCC